rnacentral:piRNA from 1 species
AAACUGCGUGUGUCAAGACUCACAACUGC